UGGUUCCCGCAUCGAUGAAGAACGCAGCGAAACGCGAUAGGUAAUGUGAAUUGCAGAAUUCCGUGAAUCAUCGAAUCUUUGAACGCACAUUGCGCCUACCGGUAUUCCGGUAGGCAUAUCUGUCUGAGCGUCAGCAAAAAACCCUUCGGUCGGUCCUUUCGGAUCGGUUCCGGUAACGUAUGGGCUCGGGGAAGGAACGGCUCCGGCCUGUCCCUCGGCCUUAAAACAUGCUGCUCGACCGCAGGCGACUUCCGGCUAGGUCUACGAAGUGGUGUUGACAUAUCUUUCGUAACCCUCCGGACGGUGCAUCCGCGGCGUUAAACCUAUGGUUGGACCUCCCGGUCCUACCUCUGUUUGACCUCAGAUCAGAUAAGGAUACCCGCUGA
rnacentral:misc_RNA from 1 species